rnacentral:lncRNA from 1 species
NNNNNNNNNNNNNNNNNNNNNNNNNNNNNNNNNNNNNNNNNNNNNNNNNNNNNNNNNNNNNNUAUACAUUUGUUUUUAAAAAAGGAACGAACCAAAAGAUGUCAACUGGAUUCCUUUACGGAGUAGGAGUAAAAUCUUGCAGAAAAGUGUUAAUACAAGAAUUGAAAGAGAAAACAAAAAAUGAUAGACUAAAAUAUAUAAGAGAAAAUAUACAAUACUACUUAAAUAUAUUGCUAAACCUGAAUUUAAAACAUGUAUAUAAUGAUAAUUAUGAAUUAAUAUGUUAUAUUUUGGAAUCUGUCGUAUAUUACGGGUUAGAUGUAGACGUAGCAGUGUUAGAAGAGAUUAUAAUUUGGCUAAACUUGAAAGAUGUUUUAAAAAAGAACAAAAAUGUAUAUAUUAAAUUUAUUAAUAGAAUAUUAUACCUAAUAAAUAAAUUAGUAUAUGUAAAAUUAGAUAGCCAAAAAUUAUUUAAUAUAAUUUUUGAUACUACUAUACUGUUAAUAGAAAUUUUAUAUAAAACCAACAUGUAUAGUACGGUGGAGCAUGUAACAUAUACUUUAGAAACUGAAGCACAAUCUACUCGAAAAACAGAGUUAGUAGUUAAGCCCAAGUUAUCACCCCAAAGUGAGACAAGUGCGAACAAACUACUUGUCCUAAGUAACAACUGUAAACACGAUACCUUUAUGUCAAACGAAAUGAAUACUAGUUUAUGUACAAAUUUAAAUUAUGAAAAAAAAAACAAAAAACAAAAAACAUCAAUGACAUCAGAAAGUACAACAACACAUUCGGUCGAUAUGUCCAAAAAUGAAAGUGACAAUUUUGAUAAAAAAAGAAAAAAUCAAGACGAUAGUAGUUACAAUCCUUUUGUAUGUGAUAACGGAAUCGAAAACAUAAAAAAACAAAUUGUUGAAUAUGUUAUAUAUUUGAAUAACAUUCUUAAUUUAUAUGUUAAAAGUUUUCAAUUGAUGGGGAGUGAUAUAAAAGUGUAUGCUUUUUAUAGUAACAUAUUUAUUUUAUAUUGUUACAUUUGCGAUUAUAAUGAAUAUUUAAAAGAGUUAGUAAUAAAAAAUGUAUUACAUAGUGUAGCAGAAAAAAAUACAAUUGUUGUUCUUAUAAAAAAUAUAUAUGUGUUAAAAAACAUGAUCAAAGAGUUGAUAUAUUGCAACGUAAGCAAAAUAGAUGAAACAUUUUUUAAAAAAAAUUACAACUUAUAUAAAAAUAACAAAACUAAUGUUAAGAUAAAUUAUGUUUCAUUUAAAAAGAAUGAGCAUACAUUAUUAUUAGAAUUAAUUUAUUUAAUUUUAAAUAGAAUAUCAAAUAAGACACCAGUUUUUACGUAUGAAAUAAAGGAAAGAAAAUUAACACACCAGGUCCAAAUAGAUGAAAAAAAAAAAAAAAAAAUUAUUUUUUAUUUUUUAAAUAAUAAUGAAUUAAAUCAAAAAAUGCAUUUUAUAAAUAUAGCGCAAAUAAAAGGUUGCAUAAAAAUUUUAACAGUUAUAUUUAAAUUUUUUUUUUUUAAAUGCAAUACAAUUAAACCCAAACAUGUGAAACAUUUUUUUUCUUUGUUGGUUCUUGUACCCCAUUACGAGUUAACGAUUUAUCACGAAAAUAUAAAACACACUUUUGCAAAAUUGUUUGACCAAAAUCCGUACGUGAAGGGUUCGAAGACAGUCACAGCUGAUUCCUCAACAAAUAUCGUCCCAACAAAUACUGUAGCAACUCGCAAAGACAUAUCGGGACAAACACACAAAAACAAAACAGACAAAAACAAUCGUUCUACCAACAAAGACGAAAACAAACAUUUAAAUGAAGCCAAGUUAAAUAACGACGAUAGUACAUGUGGUGAGUCAAAUAAUGUACUAAUAAAAAAAAUAUAUUACGACAAUUUAAAUAAAGAAAUUAAUGUUUUAAGAUGUGAAUUUCAGGAAGAUUUGAUUAUUAAUAGUAAUAAAGAAGUAUAUUAUAAUAUUCACAUUUUGAUAUAUUACAGUCAAAUGAUUUAUAAAUUUAUGUAUAAUUUAAAUAAAAUGAAAAAUGUAAAAAACGAUAUAUUUCUUGUUGAUAAUAUGUCUUAUUUAUUGAAAUAUAUUUGUGAUAGUAUAACACAUUUUUGUUAUAAAAAUACAUUGGGUGAAAAAAAAAGUAGUAACCGAAAAAUAAAAAAUGAAUAUAAUUUGAAUAAAAACGGUUUAUUCAAUUCGGAAAACAAAGAAGAGAAGCUUGAAAAGAUGUAUAUAAAAGGAAAGCCAUAUAUACGACUAUAUAAAAAUAAAAUGAAUAAAGUUAUUUUUGAUACAUAUAAGACUUCGUUUGAUUUUAGUUGGGAAUAUGAAACAGAGAAUAUAUCUGAUAUAGAAAAAGCAGACGAAAAAAUAGGUAAUAAUACUAUAAUUGAUUAUAAUAAAGAUAAAAAGUUUAAAAAUAAAAAUUGUUUUAAUGGCAUCAUAAUGGUAUGUCCUAACGAAGUAGAUAUAAAUGAAGAGAUCACAAAUAUAAUGCUUAUGAGAACAAAACAUACUAGUAGUGAUUUGAUGAAUAUAUAUUUAAUGUAUUUAUUAUAUAUAAGUCAAUUUAAUUUGUUAAAUGUUUUAAAUUACAAUAUGAGUAUACGAAAGUUUAUAUUGACA